AACGUCUCAGUUCGGAUUGUAGUCUGCAACUCGACUACAUGAAGCUGGAAUCGCUAGUAAUCGCGAAUCAGAAUGUCGCGGUGAAUACGUUCCCGGGUCUUGUACACACCGCCCGUCACACCAUGGGAGUCGGAUAUGCCCGAAGUCAGUGACCCAACCUUUUGGAGGGAGCUGCCGAAGGUGGAGCCGAUAACUGGGGCGAAGUCGUAACAAGGUAAC
rnacentral:rRNA from 1 species